GUCAUAGAUAUAUUAUUGUAAGAAGAAAAAUUUUUUUUAGAUUUAGUUUGGUAAAACUAGCUCACAAAAAUAACUACUUUAUGUCAUACAUACCCUCUUAAAAAUAACAAUUAUUCCCAUGUUAUAUUAUAUAUACCUAGACCUAUACUAAGAAAUGUUUUUUUCAAACAGCAAUAGAAUUUCGAAAAUAAGAUGGACAAUAAAUGAAUUGAAAUAUCUUUUGCCGAGUGAUACAGAGUGUACGUCUGAUAACCAAUAUGACCUAUAAC